CCGAAACCCCAAUUGAAUCCCCAAACCCCUUCAUCUCUCUCUCGUCCCCUGCUCUCUGCCUCGCCGGAGUUGCGCCUCUUCUCGUCGGCGUUCUUGAAGUUCGUCGGAGCCGCGCUGUUGUGCAGCAAAUUACUUCUCUUGGUUCUUCUUCAUUGUUCGUGCUCUGCUCGUGGUUUUCCAGCGAACGAUUUGUUGCGGCGCGGUAUUUCAUCGACAAACAACCGCCAUAAUCCUGUCGUUGGUGUUGCGCUGCUGUCAUUAAGCCUCGCCGGAGCGGCGCUGAUGUGAACCGGAGCUUCGAAACUCCCCCUUCAUCCCUCUGUUCUUCGCUGCUCUUGUGAGCAGAGUAUCUUAUAUGUUUCAGGUUGAAGCCGUGAGUUAUUCUUUUGCAAGCUGAAGCGGAUACGAGAUGGUGCAGUAUUAUAUUUGUUAUUGAAGUGAGGACGCUCCACUUGUAAUAGUUCAUCGUUCAUUUAUUUUUAAUAAUCUAUUUCUUUAUUUAAGAACCGGUAGCUAGUGCUCCUGAUUCUCUGUUGGUUGUUGCUCCGCGAAAGCGUUGAGGUUGUUGAGCUUUGGGAUUUGGAAAUAUUUUAUAAUUUGAAAUUGCAACAGGAUCA